rnacentral:tRNA from 1 species
AGCAGUCUGGUGUAGUGGUCUGAGCACUGGACUACAACUCUGGAGACCAGGGUUCAAUUGCCUGCUUGGCCA